rnacentral:ncRNA from 2 species
GUAUCACCGGAGUAAGCUGGCGUUGUCCCAAUUUUGUAAGAUAUAAUCAUUCCGCAGAGGAACCCGGUGCGACUCCGGGGCUGCCCCGCAACGGUAAUACCGAAAGGUUAAGCCCGGUCUACUGCCAGCCUGUCCCCGGUUCC